UCCCUGCACUGUUCGUGAUGGUUCUGGAGGCUUGUUUGAGCCAACGCUAUACCUAAGAGAGCCGCGACGUCCCGUGGUGAGCACGCCUCCGCGCGAGGUAGCCUAAAGCGAGACUGCAGCAUUCAAGAGCGGCUCCACCUGUUUUGCACAGGUUCAUUCGACCUCCCCACACGGCAAUGCGGGGCUU
rnacentral:other from 1 species